rfam:Linderina pennispora strain ATCC 12442 DL89scaffold_22, whole genome shotgun sequence.
GGUUCCAUAGUGUAGCCGGUUAUCACUGCGGAUUCUGAUUCCGCCAACCCGAGUUCGAAUCUCGGUGGAACCU